UACAGAGGUCUCGAGCGUUGUUCGGAUUCAUUGGGCGUAAAGGGCGCGUAGGCGGCGGGGUAAGUCUGGUGUGAAAUCUCGGAGCUCAACUCCGAAAUUGCACUGGAUACUGCUCUGCUAGAGGGCUGGAGAGGAGAUUGGAAUUUACGGUGUAGCAGUGAAAUGCGUAGAUAUCGUAAGGAAGACCGGUGGCGAAGGCGGAUCUCUGGACAGUUACUGACACUGAGGCACGAAGGCCAGGGGAGCAAACGGG
rnacentral:rRNA from 1 species